UACGGAAGGCAGCAGUGGGGAAUAUUGCACAAUGGGCGCAAGCCUGAUGCAGCCAUGCCGCGUGUAUGAAGAAGGCCUUCGGGUUGUAAAGUACUUUCAGUCGUGAGGAAGGUGUUAAGGUUAAUAACCUUAGCAAUUGACGUUAGCGACAGAAGAAGCACCGGCUAACUCCGUGCCAGCAGCCGCGGUAAUACGGAGGGUGCGAGCGUUAAUCGGAAUUACUGGGCGUAAAGGGCACGCAGGCGGUUAAUUAAGUUGGAUGUGAAAUCCCCGGGCUUAACCUGGGAAUGGCAUUCAAGACUGGUUAGCUAGAGUCUUGUAGAGGGGGUAGAAUUCCAUGUGUAGCGGUGAAAUGCGUAGAGAUGUGGAGGAAUACCGGGUGGCGAAGGCGGCCCCUGGACAAAGACUGACGCUCAUGUGCGAAAGCGUGGGGAGCAAACAGGAUUAGAUACC
rnacentral:rRNA from 1 species